rnacentral:rRNA from 1 species
AGGAUGAACGCUGGCGCGUGCUUAACACAUGCAAGUCGAACGGAGUUUUUAAACGGAAGUUUUCGGAUGGAAAGUUUAGAAACUUAGUGGCGGACGGGUGAGUAACGCGUGGGUAAUCUGCCUCAUACAGGGGGAUAACAGUUAGAAAUGACUGCUAACACCGCAUAACAUAGCGAAACCGCAUGAUUUUUGCUAUCAAAUAUUUAUAGGUAUGAGAUGGGCCCGCGUCUGAUUAGCUAGUUGGUGGGGUAAAAGCCUACCAAGGCGACGAUCAGUAGCCGGCUUGAGAGAGUGACCGGCCACAUUGGGACUGAGACACGGCCCAAACUCCUACGGGAGGCAGCAGUGGGGAAUAUUGGACAAUGGGGGAAACCCUGAUCCAGCGAACCGCCGCGUGAGUGAAGAAGUAUUUCGGUAUGUAAAGCUCUAUCAGCAGGGAAGAUAAUGACAGUACCUGACUAAGAAGCCCCGGCUAACUACGUGCCAGCAGCGGC